GAUGAAGAACGUAGUGAAAUGCGAUACGUAGUGUGAAUUGCAGAAUUCAGUGAAUCAUCGAAUCUUUGAACGCACAUUGCGCCCGCCAGUAUUCUGGCGGGCAUGCCUGUUCGAGCGUCAUUUCAACCAUCAAGCCCCAGGCUUGUGUUGGGGACCUGCGGCUGCCGCAGGCCCUGAAAACCAGUGGCGGGCUCGCUGUCACACCGGGCGUAGUAGAUUUUAUCUCGCUCAGGGCGUGCUGCGGGUUCCGGCCGUUAAAAAGCCUUUUUUACCCAAGGUUGACCUCGGAUCAGGUAGGAAGACCCGCUGAACUUAAGCAUAUCAAUAAGCGGAGGA
rnacentral:misc_RNA from 1 species